rnacentral:lncRNA from 1 species
GACUUUUAAAUAAUUAAAUAUUUAAAGUUAAACUAUUAUAUAAUAUUUUUAACUUAAUUUUCUAUUAUAUAUUUUACUGUUUUAGAAUUUUACUAAAUUUUUUAUUAAAUAUUUUUGUAUAAUUAUUGUAGUUAAAAAAAUCCCUAUUUGAACCCAACCCCAGACUCGGACCAACUUCAUGAGUCCGGGUCGAAACCAAUUAGCACAGACCGGAUCCAUUUACACCCUUACUUAUUUUACACAAAAAAAAUUGCAUCUCUUGAUUGAUGGGCCCAAGGUCCAGCCCAUGUAUUCUUCAUAUAAUAUUAAUAAAACUUCACAUCCGUCAUUUUUCUGAGGACCUAAACCUAAAGAGUAGUCAUCACGACGGUCGUUGCCAGUGUCUACGACGUCUGCUAUGCUCGACAGAUAUUCUCCGAUGGGCUUGGCUCCCUUUUGCAUGUUGGUGCAACUGUAUUUAUUGUAUCUUUUUUCUUCUAACAGACAGAAAAUCGAAGAAUCAAACAAAUUAAUAAAACUACCUCCACGUAUAGAAGAUGGUAAGUCUAUCAAAUGUUUUAAAAAACAAAACUUUAAACAGAGAAAUAUUUUAAACAGAACUUCCCCACGUAAUGAGUUUUUUACAAUGAUAAAAAAAAAACAGAACUUUCAAAUGAUAAAAAUUGAAACAUAGAGGAUGAUAAAAAUUGAAACAGAACUUUUAGAAUAUAAACUCACCAUUUUUCACCAAGAACAUAAAAGUAAAUCGAAGUAUGUAAUAGAAUUCACCGGAGAGAGGAUUGUGAUUCACCAAGUCUGCCAGAACUCACUGUCCUUACUGCGCUUGCCGGAAGAUGAAGAAGUCGCGGUCGCCGCUGCUGCCUGCCUGCCGGAACGGAAUGCGAGAAAUCGGAACGAUUGGUUUUGGGAGAAAAUAAAAAUCGGAAGGGAGGGUUGGGGUUUAAAGAUUUGGG